UACGAAGGGGGCUAGCGUUGCUCGGAUUGACUGGGCGUAAAGGGCGCGUAGGCGGAUAUUUAAGUCGGGGGUGAAAGCCCAGGGCUCAACCCUGGAAUAGCCUUCGAUACUGGAUAUCUUGAGUUCGGGAGAGGUGAGUGGAACUCCGAGUGUAGAGGUGAAAUUCGUAGAUAUUCGGAAGAACACCAGUGGCGAAGGCGACUCACUGGCCCGAUACUGACGCUGAGGCGCGAAAGCGUGGGGAGCAAACAGG
rnacentral:rRNA from 1 species